GAUGAAGAACGUAGCGAAAUGCGAAAAGUAAUGUGAAUUGCAGAAUUCAGUGAACCAUCGAAUCUUUGAACGCACAUUGCGCCCGCUGGAACUCCGGCGGGCACGCCUGUCCGAGCGUCAUUUCAACCCUCAGGCCCCCCUUCGCGGGCGGGCCUGGUGUUGGGGCCCGGCCGCUACCCUGCGGCCGUCCCCUAAAUCCAGUGGCGGCCUCGCCGUGAUCCCUUGCGUAGUAAUGCACCUCGCACCGGAGAGCGCCGUGGCCACGCCGUAAAACCCCCAAUUUUCAAUGGUUGACCUCGGAUCAGGUAGGGUUACCCGCUGAACUUAAGCAUAUCAAUAAGCGGAGGA
rnacentral:misc_RNA from 1 species